rnacentral:rRNA from 1 species
CCUACGGGUGGCAGCAGUAGGGAAUAUUGGUCAAUGGGGGAAACCCUGAACCAGCAACGCCGCGUGGAGGAUGAAGGUUUUCGGAUUGUAAACUCCUUUUUUUGGAGACGAAAAUGACGAUAUCUAACGAAGAAUCACCGUCUAACUCCGACACAGCAGCAGCGGUAAUACGGAGGGUGCAAUAGUUACUCGGAAUCACUGGGCGUAAAGGGCGCGUAGGCGGGAUAGCAAGUCAGAUGUGAAGUUCUAUGGCUUAACCAUAGAACUGCAUUUGAAACUGGUAUUCUAGAGUGUGGGAGAGGCAGGUGGAAUUCUUGGUGUAGCGGUGAAAUCCGUAGAGAUCACGAGGAACCCUGAUUGCGAAGGCGACCUGCUGGAACGUAACUGACGCUGAUGCGCGAAAGCGUGGGGAGCAAACAGGAUUAGAUACCCGAGUAGUC